rnacentral:rRNA from 1 species
UACGUAGGGGCCCAGCGUUGUCCGGAUUCAUUGGGCGUAAAGCGCGCGCAGGCGGCCCGGUGUGCCGCCCGUGAAAUCCCCCGGCUCAACCGGGGGGGGGUCGGGCGGGACUGCCGGGCUGGAGGCGGGUAGGGGAGAGCGGAAUUCCCGGUGUAGUGGUGGAAUGCGUAGAGAUCGGGAGGAACACCAGUGGCGAAGGCGGCUCUCUGGACCCUUGCCGUGACGCUGAGGCGCGAAAGCGUGGGGAGCGAUCCGG